CUUAAAGUGAAAAAAAAAAGACACCCCCACCUUUACCCUACUUGAUUUCCAGGUCCUUUUCCUCCAAGAAUAUUUCUAGCUGCUUCUGGUUUUGCUAGUUUAUUUCAAAAAUUACAAUUGUUUGAGUCAAAUCUAUACUUGAUGUUCAUUGUUGGGUUUCUUUAGGUCAUUCUGCUGUUCUGUUCUCUCAGUUUCCCAGGUGUUUUGUGUGUCUUCCUUGUGCUAUUAAUUUUCCUGUGGCCUUGUUGGUCAGAUCCACAGAGGUAAAUGCAAGUGUUUUUCCUUGCUUCAGAACAUGUGCUGUAAUCACUACAUCUUCUCCUAAUUUUGCAGGUGACAUGUACCUUGAAAGAAAAUGAAUAUAGUUAACAGCAAAUAAUUUUUCAAAGGGAAAGUUGUGUGCAUCUCACAACAGUGUUCCUAUGUAAUUUAUUUUACUCCUAAAAAUAGUUUAACAGUAGUAUUGGUAAGCUUUCUGUACUAUCAAAUGUGAAUGGCUGGUCCUAACCAGCUUCUAUCUUACCCAUUCCUUACCCACACAAAUUUCUUUUCCCAAAUAUAUGAGAAGAGGUUUUCUUGCCUCCCCUUUUUUCCCUUUACGUUUCCCACUUCAUAUUUAUUUGGGGCUGGUGAAAGAUUUCCUCCAGCUUUCAUUUAAUCUCCUUAACUUCUUAAAUGAAAUAUCACUUGGUGUCUAUAUAUUGUCCUAUCCAUAUUUACAAUUUAUUUGACUCUAAAAUGACAAUAUAACAACUAUAAGGAAUUGAUAUGAUGUCCUUACAGUCUUGAUGAUGGACUGUCUAUAUUUUGAAGAGAUGUAUAUCCUACUCACUUGUAAUCAUAAGUUGUCUUUAACUCAGCUGGCUCCAGCUAAUUAAAAAAAAAAAAAACUGGGGAGA
rnacentral:antisense_RNA from 1 species